UUGAAAAAUUAGCGGAUGACUUGUGGCUGGGGGUGAAAGGCCAAUCAAACCGGGAGAUAGCUGGUUCUCCCCGAAAGCUAUUUAGGUAGCGCCUCGUGAAUUCAUCUCCGGGGGUAGAGCACUGUUUCGGCAAGGGGGUCAUCCCGACUUACCAACCCGAUGCAAACUGCGAAUACCGGAGAAUGUUAUCACGGGAGACACACGGCGGGUGCUAACGUCCGUCGUGAAGAGGGAAACAACCCAGACCGCCAGCUAAGGUCCCAAAGUCAUGGUUAAGUGGGAAACGAUGUGGGAAGGCCCAGACAGCCAGGAUGUUGGCUUAGAAGCAGCCAUCAUUUAAAGAAAGCGUAAUAGCUCACUGGUCGAGUCGGCCUGCGCGGAAGAUGUAACGGGGCUAAACCAUGCACCGAAGCUGCGGCAGCGACGCUUAUGCGUUGUUGGGUAGGGGAGCGUUCUGUAAGCCUGCGAAGGUGUGCUGUGAGGCAUGCUGGAGGUAUCAGAAGUGCGAAUGCUGACAUAAGUAACGAUAAAGCGGGUGAAAAGCCCGCUCGCCGGAAGACCAAGGGUUCCUGUCCAACGUUAAUCGGGGCAGGGUGAGUCGACCCCUAAGGCGAGGCCGAAAGGCGUAGUCGAUGGGAAACAGGUUAAUAUUCCUGUACUUGGUGUUACUGCGAAGGGGGGACGGAGAAGGCUAUGUUGGCCGGGCGACGGUUGUCCCGGUUUAAGCGUGUAGGCUGGUUUUCCAGGCAAAUCCGGAAAAUCAAGGCUGAGGCGUGAUGACGAGGCACUACGGUGCUGAAGCAACAAAUGCCCUGCUUCCAGGAAAAGCCUCUAAGCAUCAGGUAACAUCAAAUCGUACCCCAAACCGACACAGGUGGUCAGGUAGAGAAUACCAAGGCGCUUGAGAGAACUCGGGUGAAGGAACUAGGCAAAAUGGUGCCGUAACUUCGGGAGAAGG
rnacentral:rRNA from 1 species